rnacentral:rRNA from 1 species
UAAGAGGUCCCGCCUGCCCUGUGACUAAUGUUUAACGGCCGCGGUAUCUUGACCGUGCGAAGGUAGCGCAAUCACUUGUCCUUUAAAUGGGGACCUGUAUGAAUGGCACAACGAGGGCUUAACUGUCUCCCCCCUCCUGUCAGUGAAACUGAUCUCCCCGUGAAGAAGCGGGGAUUCCACUACCAGACGAGAAGACCCUAUGGAGCUUAAAACAAAAGAGGGCCUAUAUAAACCAAGGGCAGAUAAACACAGCAGUUGUUUAGUUCCCUCCGUAGUUUUUGGUUGGGGCGACCGUGGAGAAACAAAAAACCCCCAUGCAGAACAGGAUUACUAGAACCUUAAACCCAGAGCCACAGCUCUAAGUAUCAAAAUAUUUGACAGACGAUCCGGCCCCCGGCCGAUCAACGGACCUAGUUACCCUAGGGAUAACAGCGCAAUCUCCUCCCAGAGCCCAUAUCGACGAGGGGGUUUACGACCUCGAUGUUGGAUCAGGACAUCCAAAUGGUGCAGCCGCUAUUAAGGGUUCGUUUGUUCAACG